AUACUCAUAAGCCCAAAACAUUUUGAUUAGACCUGUGAAGCCCGGUUCAGUUGAGUUGGAGACCGACCGCCUAUUUUUCCCCCUGAUUUGGAAAUAGUAGAUUCCGUUGUUUUUGUGCGAUGGAGGAGCCUCCAACUCUACUUCAUCAGAGCCUAGGAAACAUGAGCUUCCAUUACUUCUUAAAGGCCCCAAGCCCUCGAACUCCUCU
rnacentral:lncRNA from 1 species